AGAAGAAAAUCCCUUACUGAAAUUUGGCAAGAUAGAAAAGGAUAGCGAAUCCAAUGAAACUGUGACUGGUUUUGAAUGACAGGUCAUCACAAGUCGGCACGCGGAGAAACAACCCCUUAGUAUUUUGGAUUUUUUGCGUACAUCGUGGUUUAUUUUCAGUAAAUCUAAUUGUAUUCAACAAUGGUUACAUGUUCUGUGAGUGAUUCUGGUGUUAAUAAUAGAAAUAAUCCUGAAAAUUGCACAUUUCACAGAUUCCCUCUAGAUACUAUACUAAGAGGAAAAUGGUUGAGAUUAAUUGGGCGCGUUGGUUGGAAUCCAAAGAAAAACUCUACCAUUUGCAGCAAACAUUUCCCGGACGAAUAUAAAAGAAAAAGACGAAUAAAUACAGUUUUAGUUAAAGGAGCCAUUCCAACUUUAUUUGUACCAGGACAUAUAAAAGAGAGAAUCCCGUCAUCGUAUAUCAAUCGGGACAUAGCUCUACCUUCGAUAUCACAAACUCCAGAAAAAAGUGUUCAGCUCACACCAAGAACAAAAAAGCUUAUUAGCAAAAACGACAAACUGAAACAAAAGCUACAAGAAAAACAAAAAAAAAAUACGUAGAUUAGCAGCAAAAAAUAAAAGACAGGCUCUAAAAAUAGUCACCCUGAAAGACGUUCUACAUGAAAUUCA